CCCAGCUCCAGAUUAGCCUCAUUCCCACUCACCUCUCGAUUGGAGCCUAGAGCAGUUCUCCACCCAGAUCCCGUCUCUCACCCGUUGUGGCAGCGACCGACAGCACUCGGCAAGUUACGGUGCUAGCAAAGUACGGCGACUGGUGGUGGCGGAAAACGGCGACUGGCCACGCAUGCUGUUGUGGGAGCGGCGGCAGCACGGGCUGAUGGGCGAGCGGGGGCAGGGGGCGCAAGGCUGAUGACCGAGCGGCGGGGCGUGCUAAUGGGCGGCCGGCGCCGUGGGCUGAUGUUCUGCGCUGAUCGGUUCUCAUUCGCAUGCAGGGUAAAGGAGGCGUGAGAUCCACAUCUCUAGUUGAACAGCCGCCCGAGGAAAUGUCUCCUCCCUACCCAGCCAGAAGUUUGAUCCUUCCGAUCGAAGAGGUACCGUAUCAGUUUCCAUUUGCAAGACGUAUGGUUGGAAAAGGAUUGAAGUACUGGUGUAACACUAAUAAUUCUUACUAAGAUGUGAUUUCUAUGUCAAUGUGUAGAUGAUUCCUGAACAAUUUCUUAGGUAUUGGUAAGUCAUAUUGGAGAUAAAUUGAGUUGUGAUAAUGCUAUGAUACUAAUGAUGACAAUGGUACCUAUGGCAAUGUGGGAGAUUAUAUAUAUGGCGAUGGGCAUUACGAUCAAGACGACCAUAAUGGUGAUGAGUCUGAUGAUCUUCGAGUCAUGCAACCAAGUGAAGUUAUGAAGUUCAUGGACAAUUUAGCUUAUGCACAAUGUUUGGACCAUUAUAUCUUAGUCAUUAUUUUGUUUUUCAUUUGACACUUCUUAGAUGCGUCAGUAUGGCCAAUGUAAUAUUGAUUCAACUCA